CAAGCCACUUUCGCUGCAGUGAUUUUUCCAUUAAUCAGAAUCAUUUGGCCUCUGUCGCUAGUGGUUACUCAUCCUUCUAAUUGGCUUCCCUUCUCCAAUGCCAUUUUCCGCUCUGAAGCCAAUGGAAGGACCCACAUCCUGGCAGCCAGUGGAGUCAUCUGGAAAGGCCUCUAAACAAGUAAGAGAGUGAUGGGGCAACGCCUAUUGCACCAUCCUAGCCACAGGCCUCGGAGAGCUGGUUUUCCUGUAACCAGGGACCGGCCUCACCACGUAACCCCAGCCACUGGUGGAACCAACUGAGAAGUCGGGCUGGGCCCACCACUGAUGGGAGCCCAGGGCGGAGGCUCCCUGUCCUCCUCCCCUAGUCUCUAGCCCUCGCGGACCCACCUACCUUUACGUGGUCCUUCAGAUCUGCUCCCCUGAAAAGAAACCAGAGGCUUCCAAACAAACUCGCCAAACAUUAUAGAGCAUUGUACUCAAAGUCUAUUGACAGCGACAUCCUUACCAGCUGGGCACUCAGAAAGACAAUCCUCGGGCCCCGUGGAAGCAGAAUCUGUGUUCUACAAGAUCCCCAGCGAUUCAAGCGGAACCAGAGCCUGGGAGGCACCGCCACCGAGAGGGAACCGUCCUUGCCCUGGCUCUACCUGUGGAGAAUCUAUCUAUUGGCUGGGCGCCGGGCUUUUCUUUAGCUCCCAGGUGAUUCCAGUGUAUCACUGGCGAUGAGACACACUGCUCCGGAGUCAGGGCUUCCUCCGCCCUCGGCUGUUUCUGUUAGCUCAAAUAUACUAUCACGUGCCAAUUGAUUUCCAAAAUUACCCUUAGGGGAAUCAAUCAUGCCAGAUAGUCUCACUGGUCAUGUAAUCCAGCUACAAGAAUAGAAUCCUGACUUUGGCUGGAUACCUAGCUACUCAGAAUAAAGGCUACAUUCCACCGUCCCUACAUGCUGGGUAGAGCCAUGUAAGUGAAUUCUGGCCAAGAAGUGUUAUGGGCAGUUUUCAAAAGGUUCUGUUGAGAGGAGUGUGUACUCCUUGCCCUCCCUCCUCCCUACUAGCUGGAAUGUAGGUGUGAUAACUGACAUUCAGCAGCCAUCUUGGAUCAGGAAGUAGCUGUGGGCGUGAAACCCAUGCAGGGUGGAAACAAAGUGGAAGGAGCCUGGGCCUCUGACACUACGGAGCCCAUUCCAGCCCUGGGGAGCCAUGUCUGAGCUUUGCCAUAAAAGAAAUAAACUUAAUUCACUUA